AUUGUUAGAAAAGCAACUUAAAGUUUUAAGCAAACGUAGUUUCAUUGAAACACGAUCAUCUUUCAUAAAUGCAAAAUUCAUGUUUCCAAAAAUGUUCAUCACAUUAAUAUUUUGUUCAUUCUCGUUGUAGUCAAUAAUGAGGUUUUGGAGAAUGGACAUUUAAUGUGCAUCAUCCUAAUAUAUACCAUCUCUGGGAAGAGAUUUCUUGGCUCUCUGCACCUUUUACGCGCAUGCAUUAAGAAACAAUUCAGAGAUAGCUAGCUUCACAUUAUGAUAUACGAUAUUUAGUACGCCUAAAUUACUCUUAUUCAGAAAUGGUGAGGUUAGCGCCUUUUUUUAUAAAAUCAUUCUCUUAGCCAUUUUACACAACAUAUUAGUUUUCCAAUAACUGUUUUUCCCUAAUUGAUCAAAAAAUCAUUUUCGCAGUGAAGAUUUGUGAUGAUGAAUAUCUCUAUUUCUGUAAGGUUAGACUCUAGAUUGACUCGUGUAUAGAUAAUAUACUAAAUAACGUAUCAUCAAAAUUUCAAAGACAUUGUAAGAAAAUCAAUUUAAUUAAUUAAAAUAAUUAUCACUUCAACGAUGAAAAAAUUAGACAAGGAAUAUUGUGACGAAGGUGAAAAUUUCAAAUAACUCAAAUGAAGGAAAAUAUGAGGAAGUUGGAUUAUUAUCGGGAUUUUGACAUAUAUAUAUAAAGACUUACACCGAUUCUAAACGCAUCAUAAGUCUUAUUCACGUACCCCAUGCAGCUACUAAGCGUAUUUAUUCUUUUCGUUUACCUUACAAUGGUGUCGUCGAGAACGUAUUCUUUGGGACGACCCAACGACCUCAUCACUAAAGAGAAGCAGCGAUAAAAUAUGAAGCAACGUAUUGGGUUUGGGAAUGGCUAAAUUCGAA